AUAGUGAUGGCAGUGACAACGUUGAGGUUUUUAUUUUUAUGUUACACAUUCAUAUUACACUCCUUAUUUUACUUAAAGAACAUAAAGCAAAAGUGGAAAUACCUCUUUUCUGUUUGACACGAGAACGUCGAAAAAAUUAGUUAAUGCACGCACGGCAUGCUCUAUAAAUGCUGAAAUUUUAUGCGAAGUUGAAAUGAAACAAAAAAGUACUGAGCAAAAGAGACAGCAUGGGACAGUUGCCUAAUUUUCGAUAUUUGUUGAUGAAAAUUGGCCAAAUUCCUGAUAUUUUCUGAUGAUAGUGGUCAGCAUGCGCAGGUGUUCAAAUAUACCUCUCCCACAUGCACAUUCGCAUCUGUAAAACAACAAAACUGCUAACGCUUUCACUUUUUAGUUGGUUUGCAUCACGUGUAAAAGCGUUCGGCAUUGUUUGCCGAAUUUCGGUGUUUUUUGAAUAACGGGUGCUCAACAGCUGUUAAAUACACUUCCUCACAUCUGUGACAUUAGAAAAAAGGGUUACUCUCUGUCGGCUUAAAAUUCAAAGUCACAGUUUUAAAUCUGAUCGCAUUUAAACACUCAAGCUGUACAAAUUUUCGUUGAACUGGAUGCAUAAGUUAUAUUCCAUUGGCUAAGCUCAUACCUACUCUGUAUACAAAGAAGAAAAAACUAUAAUUAUUCAACAAAAUCAAAGCAAAACAGAGAACGAUUAGGCAGAAAUGCUUGAAUUUUUAAGAGAUCCGUAGUAUGUUUCGCGACUUUCGCGAAAGAGAACCGUUAUGAAACAGAGAAGAACUCUAUGGGAUGCUUUUACUACCCCUACACUAGCUGAAAAUGUAAAAGUAAAAGAAUGUAUUUGUACAUAUACAUGUUUGCAUAGUUGCAUGUACGUUUCUACUGUAGGAUUAUUGCUUUGAUCUAUUUUAUUUUACUUACUGCUAUUUAAUCUACUUUAUGCAAGCUUUGCAUUUUACAAAACUUUACUCCAAUUAUAAUAACCUAGUUUAGC